AAGUCAUUUUAAGGGCAGUUUCUGAGUAACCAUUUAUAUCGUUCCCAUGCCUCAUAAAGCGACUCUCCUGAUUGUUGCUUAAAGUUGGCUAUUGACUUCUUGAGUUU